GCGGGAUUUAUCUUGGGAGGGACUGAUUCUACCAUCUUUCUCUUUCACCCAAAGUGAGGGCCCUGGUUCUUGCCUGUGUGCCUCUUAACAAGCAGUCUGACAUGUAGUCCUUGGCUUUGUGCCACUUGAACUCAGUUUUGCUAAGUGUGAAAAGACACUGAGUCCCUCCAAGAGAUGUCCUGUCAUCCUUGGGAGAACCUUAAUAGAAAAAUGGUUUGCACCAUGAAGAGUGUCAGGUAUCCUAGGACCUCUGGAGCUCUGACCAGGGCUUCACAGAGCUGUUUUCCAUGGUAGCCAUAGACAGAAUUGAUUCUGGUUGGGGCUUUUCCCCUCCUUUUGAGAGUGUUUUCCCUCUACCUGCUGCUGCUUUCCCAAUAUCAUGAACAGUUAAGAACAGGUGUGGACUGCACGCUGUUCUCAGAGGCACCGGAUACCUUUUGGCAUCAGAGUUUUCAGAAGUACUUUGAAUCUUUCUGGAAUUUGGUUAUUCUCUGGAUUUGGCCUGCAUCUAAGUGAUGCUGGCUUGGCUACUGAGAGCUCCAUUUGUGGGCUCUCCGGGCAUCUGGGACUUUUCAGCACUGGUGGUACUUGGACGUAGGUAGGGUAAAUGGAGGCUGGCUGGGACACACCAUGUUUUUGUGGAUUUUCAGUUAAAUCCAUGGCCAGAUCCUCCAAGAUUGGACUCAUCGGAAGGAGAAUGUGCAUGUGUUGAGACUCAAGAACAGACUGCUGUGGAAGGAGCAGACUGAACUGCAAGAGUCCUGUGAGGAUCUGAAGAGGCUCCUGAUGGAGGCUCAUGAGAUGAUCUGUGACCCUCAGCAGGAGCAAGAGAGCCUGGAUGACAGAUUUGAAGGACCUGCUGAAGCAGAAGGAGCUGGUCACCCAGCAAGGGGACUUGGCAGAAAAGCUGCAACAUCACUUCAACGUCUUUGAGAUGAGGUCAGAAAAUCUCCAGUCUGAGUUUGAACAGGCCACAGUCCAGGAUAAGAGCCUCCUGCAGACAGAGCUGCUGCAGCAGGAGCACUAAGUCUCACAGGC